UACGUAGGGCGCAAGCGUUGUCCGGAAUUAUUGGGCGUAAAGAGCUCGUAGGUGGUUUGUUACGUCUGCUGUGAAAUCCUAGGGCUUAACCCUGGGCGUGCAGUGGAUACGGGCAGACUAGAGGCAGGUAGGGGAGAAUGGAAUUCCUGGUGUAGCGGUGAAAUGCGCAGAUAUCAGGAGGAACACCGGUGGCGAAGGCGGUUCUCUGGGCCUGAACUGACACUGAGGAGCGAAAGCGUGGGGAGCGAACAGG
rnacentral:rRNA from 1 species